UACGUAGGGUGCAAGCGUUGUCCGGAAUUAUUGGGCGUAAAGAGCUCGUAGGCGGCUUGUCGCGUCGGCUGUGAAAACCUGGGGCUCAACCCCGGGCCUGCAGCCGAAACGGGCAAGCUAGAAUUCGGUAGGGGAGACUGGAAUUCCUGGUGUAGCGGUGAAAUGCGCAGAUAUCAGGAGGAACACCGGUGGCGAAGGCGGGUCUCUGGGCCGUAACUGACGCUGAGGAGCGAAAGCAUGGGGAGCGAACAGG
rnacentral:rRNA from 1 species